rnacentral:rRNA from 1 species
GAUGAACGCUGGCGGCGUGCCUAAUACAUGCAAGUCGAGCGAACAGAUGAGGAGCUUGCUCCUCUGACGUUAGCGGCGGACGGGUGAGUAACACGUGGAUAACCUACCUAUAAGACUGGGAUAACUUCGGGAAACCGGAGCUAAUACCGGAUAAUAUAUUGAACCGCAUGGUUCAAUAGUGAAAGACGGUUUUGCUGUCACUUAUAGAUGGAUCCGCGCCGCAUUAGCUAGUUGGUAAGGUAACGGCUUACCAAGGCGACGAUGCGUAGCCGACCUGAGAGGGUGAUCGGCCACACUGGAAGUGAGACACGGUCCAGACUCCGACGGGAGGCAGCAGUAGGGAAUCUUCCGCAAUGGGCGAAAGCCUGACGGAGCAACGCCGCGUGAGUGAUGAAGGUCUUCGGAUCGUAAAACUCUGUUAUUAGGGAAGAACAAAUGUGUAAGUAACUAUGCACGUCUUGACGGUACCUAAUCAGAAAGCCACGGCUAACUACGUG